GGUUAAGUCCCGCAACGAGCGCAACCCUUGUCACUAGUUGCCAUCAUUUGGUUGGGCACUCUAGUGAGACUGCCGGUAGACAAACCGGAGGAAGGUGGGGAUGACGUCAAGUCCUCAUGGCCCUUAUGGGUAGGGCUUCACACGUCAUACAAUGGUCGGUACAGAGGGUUGCCAAGCCGCGAGGUGGAGCCAAUCCCUUAAAGCCGAUCGUAGUCCGGAUCGUAGUCUGCAACUCGACUACGUGAAGUCGGAAUCGCUAGUAAUCGCAGAUCAGCAUGCUGCGGUGAAUACGUUCCCGGGUCUU
rnacentral:rRNA from 1 species